CCUACGGGAGGCAGCAGGGAGGAAGAUUGGGCAAUGGACGAGAGUCUGAACCAGCCAAGUAGCGUGAAGGAGGACAGCCCGAUGGGUUGUAAACUUCGUUUAUAGGGGAAUAAAAUGUGCCACGUGUGGGAUUUUGUAUGUACCAUAUGAAUAAGGAUCGGCUAACUCCGUGCCAGCAGCCGCGGUAAUACGGAGGAUCCGAUCGUUAUCCGGAUUGAUUGGGUUUAAAGGGAGCGUAGGUGGGUUGUUAAGUCAGUUGUGAAAGUUUGCGGCUCAACCGUAAAAUUGCAGUUGAAACUGGCAGUCUUGAGUACAGUAGAGGUAGGCGGAAUUCGUGGUGUAGCGGUGAAAUGCUUAGAUAUCACGAAGAACUCCGAUUGCGAAGGCAGCUCACUGGACUGCAACUGACACUGAGGCUCGAAAGUGUGGGUAUCAAACAGGAUUAGAUACCCCAGUAGUC
rnacentral:rRNA from 1 species